CUCGACGGUUCAAAGAUAUCAAAUCUACCGAUUGACUGAGUAUAUCCGACAUAUGCUCACUAAGGAAAGUUCAAAGAGAAAUCUACUUAUCCAGAUGCAAUUAAUCCUUGCUUACGAAUCACAAGUUUUUUGUCAUGCAUGUUUUUCAUCAUAUAGCCAUUCCCCAUUCAUGUGGGGGAUUGUUAAAGCUAGUUAAUGAUUAAAGCUAGCUAAGUUGGUGUGANNNNN
rnacentral:lncRNA from 1 species